CGCUACAUGCCCUGCGUUCAUCUCCCUGUGGGCGCCUUUCUGAUGACAUCACCCUCUGUACGGAAGCAGCCGUACAGUAAUGAAUGGCUACAGUCAGCGUGGUGCACGGAACGGAGGCAAGGGACACAGUGAUGAUGAAACCGGAAGGAAGUCCUGCAGGGGAUCCGGGGACAAUGCACGUGGUGGAAGUUUAGAGAAUAAAGCGUUGUCUCUGGAUGAUGACGAAACCGGAAGUCAGUGCGAACGGAGGACACUGCAUGUGGUGGUCAUAGUUAUGUAUAAAGG